AUCUAGGGCCAUACCACCCUGAAGGAGACCGAUCUCGUCUGAUCUCGGAAGCAAAGGAGGGUUGGGCCUGAUUAGUACUUGGAUGGGAGACAUCCUGGGAAUACCUGAUGCUGUAGACU
rnacentral:rRNA from 1 species